CUGACGGUCGAAUUUAUUUCGGUGAAUUCUUACUGGCGAACGGGUGAAUGCGGCUAAUCAACCUGGCCUUUGGAUGGGGACAACAUUCCCAAAGGAGUGUUAAUACCGAAUGUGAUCCAUUUCUUGCAUGAUAGAUGGAUGAAAGAUGGCCUCUAUUUAUAAGCUAUGGGCAGGUGAUGGGCCUGUGUCUGAUUGUUAGUUGGUGGGGUAACGGGUCACCAAUACGAUGAUCAGUAUGCGUGCGGAAAGGAUGAAGGGCGAGUUUGGGACUGAGACAGGGCCCAAACUACUACGGGAGGCAGCAGUGGGGAAUCUUCCGCAAUGGACGAAAGUCUGACGGAGCAACGCCGCGUGAGUGAUGAAGGUUUUCGGACUGUAAAACUCUGUUGUCAGGGACGAAGGUGCGAUCUGCGAAUAGUUGAUCGUAUUGACGGUACCUGACGAGGAAGCCACGGCUAACUACGUGCCAGCAGCCGCGGUAAUACGUAGGUGGCAAGCGUUGUCCGGAAUUAUUGGGCGUAAAGAGCAUGUAGGUGGGCUUUUAAGUCCGAUGUGAAAAUGCGGGGCUCAACCCCGUAUGGCAUUGGAUACUGGAAGUCUUGAGUGCAGGAGA
rnacentral:rRNA from 1 species